GAUGAACGCUGACAGAAUGCUUAACACAUGCAAGUCCACUUGAAUUUGGGUUUUUAACUUCGGUUUGGGUGGCGGACGGGUGAGUAACGCGUAAAGAACUUGCCUCACAGCUAGGGACAACAUUUGGAAACGAAUGCUAAUACCUAAUAUUAUGAUAAUAGGGCAUCCUAUAAUUAUGAAAGCUAUAAGCGCUGUGAGAGAGCUUUGCGUCCCAUUAGCUAGUUGGAGAGGUAACGGCUCACCAAGGCGAUGAUGGGUAGCCGGUCUGAGAGGGUGAUCGGCCACAAGGGGACUGAGACACGGCCCUUACUCCUACGGGAGGCAGCAGUGGGGAAUAUUGGACAAUGGACCGAGAGUCUGAUCCAGCAAUUCUGUGUGCACGAUGAAGUUUUUCGGAAUGUAAAGUGCUUUCAGUUGGGAAGAAACAAAUGACGGUACCAACAGAAGAAGUGACGGCUAAAUACGUG
rnacentral:rRNA from 1 species